CAGAGUUGCAAGACUCCCUGAACCAUUGUGAACCUACCUUCUACCGUUGCUUCGGCGGGCGGGCCCAGCGCCCCCCCCGGCCCCCCGCGGGCGCCCGCCGGAGGAUACCCAAACUCUUGACAUUAGUGGCCUCUCUGAGUAUUCUUUACUGAAUAAGUCA
rnacentral:misc_RNA from 1 species